GAUGAACGCUGGCGGCGUGCCUAAUACAUGCAAGUCGAGCGAACAGACGAGGAGCUUGCUCCUCUGACGUUAGCGGCUGACGGGUGAGUAACACGUGGAUAACCUACCUAUAAGACUGGGAUAACUUCGGGAAGCCGGAGCUAAUACCGGAUCAUAUAUUGAACCGCAUGGUUCAAUAGUUAUAGACGGUUUUGCUGUCACUUAUAGAUGGAUCCGCGCCGCAUUAGCUAGUUGGUAAGGUAACAGCUUACCAAGGCAACGAUGCGCAGCCGACCUGAGAGGGUGAUCGGCCACACUGGAACUGAGACACGGUCCAGACUCCUACGGGAGGCAGCAGUAGGGAAUCUUCCGCAAUGGGCGCAAGCCUGAUGGAGCAAUGCCGCGUGAGUGAUGAAGGUCUUCGGGUCGUAAAACUCUGUUAUUAGGAAAGAACAAAUGUGUAAGUAACUAUGCACGUCUUGACGGUACCUAAUCAGAAAGCCACGGCUAACUACGUG
rnacentral:rRNA from 1 species